AUUGAACGCUGGCGGCAUGCUUUACACAUGCAAGUCGUGCGGCAGCGCGAGGGCAACCUUGGCGGCGAGCGGCGAACGGGUGAGGAAUACAUCGGAACGUACCCCGGAGUGGGGGAUAACCCAGCGAAAGUUGGACUAAUACCGCAUAUGCUCUGAGGAGGAAAGCAGGGGACUUCGCAAGAGGCCUUGCGCUCUGGGAGCGGCCGAUGUCCGAUUAGCUAGUGGUGGGGUAAUGGCUCACCAAGGCGACGAUCGGUAGCUGGUCUGAGAGGAUGAUCAGCCACACUGGGACUGAGACACGGCCCAGACUCCUACGGGAGGCAGCAGUGGGAAUUUUGGACAAUGGGGGCAACCCUGAUCCAGCCAUGCCGCGUGCGGGAAGAA
rnacentral:rRNA from 1 species